rnacentral:rRNA from 1 species
UGGGGAAUUUUGGACAAUGGGCGAAAGCCUGAUCCAGCAAUGCCGCGUGUGUGAAGAAGGCCUUCGGGUUGUAAAGCACUUUUGUCCGGAAAGAAAUCCUUGGCUCUAAUACAGUCGGGGGAUGACGGUACCGGAAGAAUAAGCACCGGCUAACUACGUGCCAGCAGCCGCGGUAAUACGUAGGGUGCAAGCGUUAAUCGGAAUUACUGGGCGUAAAGCGUGCGCAGGCGGUUUGCUAAGACCGAUGUGAAAUCCCCGGGCUCAACCUGGGAACUGCAUUGGUGACUGGGCAGGCUAGAGUAUGGCAGAGGGGGGUAGAAUUCCACGUGUAGCAGUGAAAUGCGUAGAGAUGUGGAGGAAUACCGAUGGCGAAGGCAGCCCCCUGGGCAAUACUGACGCUCAUGCACGAAAGCGUGGGGAGCAAAACAGGAUUAGAUACCCUGGUAGUCCACGCCCUAAAACGAUGUCAACUAGUUGUUGGGGAUUCAUUUCCUUAGUAACGUAGCUAACGCGCGAAGUUGACCGCCUGGGGAGUACGGUCGCAAGAUUAAAACUUAAAUGAAUUGACGGGGUCAUAGCUGUUUCCU